GAAGGGUGCUGGGAAAGGCUCAGGGCUGAUGUCUGCUGUGGGAGCUGAGAGGCCUAGGACAGUGGAGGAGGCAGAGGUGGUGGGGAUGGGUUUCUCUGGGUAGCCCUGGCUGUCUUCCUCAUCUGGUUCCCAUGCAGAUCCAAGGAGGACACAGGAGAAAUGGCUGCCGAGCUCAGCUGCCUGGAAGCCAGCCUUCUCCUGUUUGCCUGCAGAACAAGAUGUCCUCUUGACUCCUCCAGCACCAUGUCUGCCUGGAUGCUUCCUGCCUUGAUAAUAAUGGACUGAACCUCU